rnacentral:rRNA from 1 species
ACGAACUUAGUCAUAGCUGGUUUCUCAAGAAAAGAAUUUUAGUUCCGCCUAAAGCAACAUUAAUCUCAACAAAUCACCCCCACCCUUUAGAGUAAUUCAAAUAAGGUACAGCCUAUUUGAUACAGGAUCCAACCUUCACUUACGGGUAACAUCAAACCCCACCCCGCAUUUAAGUAGGCCUAAUAGCAGCCACCUUUAAAAAAGCGUCGAAGCUUACCCGCCUCAACCUCAAUCCACCAACCAUUAUUGACCCCUAUUACCGUAUUGAGAACUCCUAUACCCCUAUAGGAAAUAUUAUGCUAAAACUAGUAACAAGAGGAAUAACCUCUCCCCAGUGCAAACUUAAGCCAAAGAACCCCCACCGACAAUUAACAGACCUACCCCAAAGUACUAACUAUUCAAGAAAACCCUACUUUCCCCCACUGUUAACCUAACUCAAGCGCACUCCAAGAAAGAUUAAAAGAAAAAGAAGGAACUCGGCAAAUAUUAACUCCGCCUGUUUACCAAAAACAUCGCCUCUUGUCUCCAUAAGAGGUCCAGCCUGCCCAGUGACCCAGUUCAACGGCCGCGGUAUCCUAACCGUGCAAAGGUAGCGUAAUCACUUGUCUUUUAAAUAAAGACUAGUAUGAAAGGCACCACGAGAAUUAAACUGUCUCCUUUUUCCAAUCAGUGAACCUAAUACCCCCGUGAAGAAGCGGGGAUUUUACAAUAAGACGAGAAGACCCUAUGGAGCUUUAAACAUCAUAAUCACCUGCUCAAGACCAAAAAACUCAGGUUCCUCACCCAAACCCAUAAUGAUUAUAUGUUUUUGGUUGGGGUGACCGCGGAGAAAAACCCAUCCCCCGCGAUGAAAAUAACUACCCAAACAACAAGCCACAGCUUUAUGUAUCAACAAAUUGACACCAUUGACCCAAUAUAUUGAUUAACGAACCAAGUUACCCUAGGGAUAACAGCGCAAUCCACUUCAAGAGCUCCUAUCGACAAGUGGGCUUACGACCUCGAUGUUGGAUCAGGGUAUCCUAGUGGUGCAGCCGCUACUAAGGGCUCGUUUGUUCAACGAUUAAAACCCCACGUGAUCUGAGUUCAGACCGGAGUAAUCCAGGUCAGUUUCUAUCUAUUAUAAGGCUUUUUUCAGUACGAAAGGACCAAAAAAGCGUAGCCAACACUCAAACAAGCUACAGUCAGUAAUUUGAGAUUCCCCCUUAAAAACCACUAACCUUACCCCUCCCACC